UGGGGAAUCUUGCGCAAUGGGCGAAAGCCUGACGCAGCGACGCCGCGUGGGUGAUGAAGGCCUUCGGGUUGUAAAGCCCUUUCAGCAGGGAAGAACGAUCCGUCUUCGAAUAGGGGGCGGAUGUGACGGUACCUGCAGAAGAAGCCACGGCUAACUCCGUGCCAGCAGCCGCGGUAAGACGGAGGUGGCAAGCGUUGCUCGGAUUUACUGGGCGUAAAGCGCACGUAGGUGGUCCCGUAAGUCAGACGUGAAAUCCCUCGGCUCAACCGAGGAACUGCGUUUGAAACUGCAGGACUUGAGUGCAGGAGAGGAAGGCGGAAUUCCCGGUGUAGAGGUGAAAUUCGUAGAUAUCGGGAAGAACACCGGUGGCGAAGGCGGCCUUCUGGACUGCUACUGACACUGAGGUGCGAAAGCGUGGGGAGCAAACAGG
rnacentral:rRNA from 1 species